GACGAACGCUGGCGGCGUGCCUAAUACAUGCAAGUUGAGCGCUGAAGGUUGGUACUUGUACCGACUGGAUGAGCAGCGAACGGGUGAGUAACGCGUGGGGAAUCUGCCUUUGAGCGGGGGACAACAUUUGGAAACGAAUGCUAAUACCGCAUAAAAACUUUAAACACAAGUUUUAAGUUUGAAAGAUGCAAUUGCAUCACUCAAAGAUGAUCCCGCGUUGUAUUAGCUAGUUGGUGAGGUAAAGGCUCACCAAGGCGAUGAUACAUAGCCGACCUGAGAGGGUGAUCGGCCACAUUGGGACUGAGAAACGGCCCAAACUCCUACGGGAGGCAGCAGUAGGGAAUCUUCGGCAAUGGACGAAAGUCUGACCGAGCAACGCCGCGUGAGUGAAGAAGGGUUUCGGAUCGGAAAACUCUGUUGGUAGAGAAGAACGUUGGUGAGAGUGGAAAGCUCAUCAAGUGACGGUAACUACACAGAAAGGGACGGCUAACUACGUG
rnacentral:rRNA from 1 species